rnacentral:rRNA from 1 species
AUACAGAGGGUGCGAGCGUUAAUCGGAAUUACUGGGCGUAAAGCGCGCGUAGGCGGCUUGGUCAGUCGGAUGUGAAAGCCCCGGGCUCAACCUGGGAAUGGCAUUCGAUACUGCCAGGCUAGAGUAUGGGAGAGGGAAGUGGAAUUUCCGGUGUAGCGGUGAAAUGCGUAGAUAUCGGAAGGAACACCAGUGGCGAAGGCGACUUCCUGGCCCAAUACUGACGCUGAGGUGCGAAAGCGUGGGGAGCGAACAGGAUUAGAAACCCCUGUAGUCC